GGGCUCCGGGAGGAGGGCCUGGUGGCUGUAGGUGAUCGCAACGUACACGCUGGAGUGUGGCGGGCUGACAGGUCUGAGACCUGAAGGACCCGGGAACCGCAAAGCACGGUGUGCCUCCGUUGUCCUGAAGAAAAAGCCGCGCGCAGACGACUGGCCGGCCCGCGCUCGCAGCUCCCAGACGUUGACAGGCAUCCUCGGGUGACCGGUGUGAGUAUGGUAUCAGGAUGAUUCGACUGCAAGCAACAGAAAAAUCAAACAAAAAUGGCCUAAGCCAAGAAGAGAAAUGGUUAUUUCUUCAAGAAGUUUGGGAGUUGAGUGGUUAAAUGGUUAAUUAAUCUAGAGCUCAACAGUAUCAUCCAGGGCCCAUUUUCACUAUGGUGGCUAAAGCCCUGCACCCCUCAGGCUUGCACCAUGGCAGCAGCAGUGACAGUAAAGACACCCUUGUACCACAAUGCUCCAUAACCACGGAGAGGGUCUCCUCUCUCCUGCCCCUUUCUAGAGGCUCCACCAAUUCCCUUCACAUUCUGUUUCUCAUUCGUAAACGCAGUUUCUGGCAACAGGGAUGGGCUUACCACAAUGGGUACAGAGCAAUUAAGAUUCACCACUAGGUGAGUCCUUUGGAAAACACUUGGCCCCCCAGUAUAUAAACAAAUCUGGUACUCCUGUCAAGAAAGAGCUGGGUAAUUCCCAACAGCCAACAGUGUCUGCCACAAGUGAAAUAUCUCAUUAGAGAAAACUGAGUAGGUACUACACGAUUCUGAGUUU